rnacentral:rRNA from 1 species
GCGGCAGGCUUAACACAUGCAAGUCGAGCGGAUGAAGGUAGCUUGCUACUGGAUUCAGCGGCGGACGGGUGAGUAAUGCUUAGGAAUCUGCCUAUUAGUGGGGGACAACGUUCCGAAAGGNGCGCUAAUACCGCAUACGUCCUACGGGAGAAAGCAGGGGACCUUNGGGCCUUGCGCUAAUAGAUGAGCCUAAGUCGGAUUAGCUAGUUGGUAGGGUAAAGGCCUACCAAGGCGACGAUCUGUAGCGGGUCUGAGAGGAUGAUCCGCCACACUGGGACUGAGACACGGCCCAGACUCCUACGGGAGGCAGCAGUGGGGAAUAUUGGACAAUGGGGGGAACCCUGAUCCAGCCAUGCCGCGUGUGUGAAGAAGGCCUUUUGGUUGUAAAGCACUUUAAGCGAGGAGGAGGCUACCUAGAUUAAUACUUUAGGAUAGUGGACGUUACUCGCAGAAUAAGCACCGGCUAACUCUGUGCCAGCAGCCGCGGUAAUACAGAGGGUGCGAGCGUUAAUCGGAUUUACUGGGCGUAAAGCGUGCGUAGGCGGCCAAUUAAGUCAAAUGUGAAAUCCCCGAGCUUAACUUGGGAAUUGCAUUCGAUACUGGUUGGCUAGAGUAUGGGAGAGGAUGGUAGAAUUCCAGGUGUAGCGGUGAAAUGCGUAGAGAUCUGGAGGAAUACCGAUGGCGAAGGCAGCCAUCUGGCCUAAUACUGACGCUGAGGUACGAAAGCAUGGGGAGCAAACAGGAUUAGAUACCCUGGUAGUCCAUGCCGUAAACGAUGUCUACUAGCCGUUGGGGCCCUUGAGGCUUUAGUGGCGCAGCUAACGCGAUAAGUAGACCGCCUGGGGAGUACGGUCGCAAGACUAAAACUCAAAUGAAUUGACGGGGGCCCGCACAAGCGGUGGAGCAUGUGGUUUAAUUCGAUGCAACGCGAAGAACCUUACCUGGCCUUGACAUACAGAGAACUUUCCAGAGAUGGAUUGGUG